rnacentral:tRNA from 1 species
GCGCCGGUGGUGUAAUGGCGUAGAGCAUUUCCGCCUGGAAUCAGAUGAAGGUGUGGGUUCGAGUCCCACCUGGCGCU